GGGAGCUUUAUUUUUAAAUUAUUCAUUUAUUUUUAUUGGAUCAGAUCAGUAACUGUUCUGUAACCUUUAGGGCGUCACUGGGAGCAAGCAUAAACACAGGCUAAAAACUCUGGCAGCCUUUGAGGGGGUGUGGGGGUGGGGAGGAGUGCCAGGCCUCAGGGGGUCCUUUCCUCGUGUCAGACCCGGGUGAAGACAGUGCUUAAAUAUCUUGCCACCCAUCUGUUAGCAGUUUCCCAGGAAAUGCCCCCUGGAGAAGAGAGGUGUGGUGCCCUGGGUCCCUUCCCCAUGCUCCACCCCCAGUGCCCAGGACGGCUUUCCCCACUAAAUAUAGCCAGCUUGUAAACAGUAAGAGGCCGAGGUCCUCAGUUGGAAGAUAAGGGGGACGGACCCGUUUGGUAAGAAUCUGCACUCAAUCAUUUCUGUUCACCUGCCCGGUCACUGCCCAACUGCCCAAUGCUUAUUCCUGCUCUCCAGUCGCUUCUGCUGAGCAAAUGGCUCUCUGGCACACCCGAGGAACAAAGGAUCCAAACUGUAUUCUCCAGUUUCCUGGGCUGGGAUACACACCUCGAGCCAAGAUGACUGGAUGCCUCCAGGGAUGGCUUCUGACAACCCAGGGGUUCAGGAGGAGGACUUUUUGUACACUUUUGCUGAUCUUAGACAAACUGAAGUUAGUGCUGAACACAUCUCUCUUCUCUCUUCAGAUCCCGAUGAUGUUUGACACUGUAGAGACAGCCUUGAAAACAAGAUUUCUGGCAAGUGGAUUUAUCUCCUGCUGAUUAAAUAGCAAACCUUCAAGCAGAUUAAGGAACAGCAUUGCUAAAGAUGACUACAGAUCAGGCCUGAGCUCAGGACAAGGAGUCCUAUCUGCUGCAUCAUUUUGGAUCCAUCACUUGACCUCUCUGUAGGAAAAUGAGGAUGCCACAAAAACUGAGAAGUAAAUUAUUCCAAAGCCCAGUGGCAAUUUAAAAAAUAGUGUGAGUAUAUGAUGGGUAAAAAUAACAUCCAUGAUAUGGGCUUUAUUUAGUUAAAAUAUUUUAAUAUUACCAUUUUUGAGACACCCACAAAAACUUGAGGUCAGUUGUCAUCCCUUCUUCUAGACCUGUACUGUCUACACAACUCAUACUAUCAAUAGAGGAUAAGAUCUGGGUUUGCUUUUUCUUGCAUUUUCUAUGUUGUGAUUUUCUUCCUUACAACUCUUUGACUUUGUCAUUGAUCCAGGAACUCCUCAGUCCACAAAGUCCUUUAUUUGUGCUAGGAACUUCUCUGAUACUUUACCAUUGUGGUUCUAAUACUGCUGUUUCUGGGACUAAGGCUCUUUGAGAUUCCCUUUCUCCUUUCUCUCACUUAAGUCUUGAAUUCAGUACUGUGUAUUGGUUCCAAGGCAGAAGAGUGGUAAGGGCUAGGUAAGGGGGGGUAAGUGACUUGCCUAGGGUUGCACAGCUAAGAAACAUCUGAGAUCAAAUUUGAACCCAGGACCUCCCAUCUCUAGGCCUGGCUCUCAAUCCACUGAGCCACCCAGCUGUCCACUCCUUUUUAUUAGUCUUAAGCAAAAAUCCUCUCAUUGCCUUUCUGGUCUUCCUUUUAAAGGCUCUAUCAGGUCUUGAUCAAUGACACUUCAAACCCAUUAGAAUUGCUCAUUGGCUAUGGGAGGUGGGGUAGGGGUAGGGUUAGAACAUGAAUCAUGUAACCAUGGAAAAAUAUUCUAAAUCAAUUAAUUAAAUAAAAAUUUUCAAAUAAAAAUAAAGGCUAUAUCC
rnacentral:lncRNA from 1 species